rnacentral:rRNA from 1 species
AAUGAACGCUGGCGGCGCGCCUAAUACAUGCAAGUCGAGCGAGAAGACGUAGCAAUACGUUUGUAAAGCGGCGAACGGGUGAGGAAUACAUGGGUAACCUACCCUCGAGUGGGGAAUAACUAGCCGAAAGGUUAGCUAAUACCGCGUACGCUUCUUGGACUUCGGUUCAGGGAGGAAAGCGAUACCGUGGGUAUCGCGCUCUUGGAUGGGCUCAUGUCCUAUCAGCUUGUUGGGAGGUAC